rnacentral:rRNA from 1 species
UAAGGAAUAUUGGUCAAUGGACGCAAGUCUGAACCAGCCAUGCCGCGUGGAGGAUGAAGGUCCUCUGGCUUGUAAACUUCUUUUAUCUGGGACGAAACACUUCUUUUCUAAGAGGCCUGACGGUACCAGAUGAAUAAGCACCGGCUAACUCCGUGCCAGCAGCCGCGGUAAUACGGAGGGUGCAAGCGUUAUCCGGAUUCACUGGGUUUAAAGGGUGCGUAGGUGGGUAUGUAAGUCAGUGGUGAAAUCCCCGAGCUUAACUUGGGAACUGCCAUUGAUACGAUAUAUCUUGAAUACCGUAGAGGUAAGGGGAAUUCCUAGUGUAGAGGUGAAAUUCGUAGAUAUUAGGAAGAACACCAGUGGCGAAGGCGCCUUACUGGCUCGGUACUGACGCUGAGGUACGAAAGCGUGGGGAGCAAAC